CCUACGUGUGGCAGCAGUGAGGAAUAUUGGUCAAUGGGCUUGCGCCUGAACCAGCCAAGUCGCGUGAGGGAAGACUGCCCUAUGGGUUGUAAACCUCUUUUGUCAGGGAGUAAUGGGAGCUACGUGUAGCGUUAUCGAGAGUACCUGUGGAUAAGGCAUCGGCUAACUCCGUGCCAGCAGCCGCGGUAAUACGGAGGUUGCAAGCGUUAUCCGGAUUUACUGGGUGUAAAGGGCGAGUAGGUGGGAUUGCAAGUCAGUUGUGAAAGUUUGGGGCUCAACCGAAAGAUUGCAGUUGAAACUGGAAGUCUUGAGUGAAGGAGAGGCGGGCGGAAUUCGUGGUGUAGCGGUGGAAUGCGUAGAUAUCGCGAAGAACACCGGUGGCGAAGGCAGUCUACUGGACUGUAACUGACACUGAGGCGCGAAAGUGUGGGGAGCAAACAGGAUUAGAUACCCUGGUAGUC
rnacentral:rRNA from 1 species